rnacentral:rRNA from 1 species
UGACGGUUAACGGGAUACGAGAGUGUGAUACCGGAGAGGGAGCCUGAGAAAUGGCUCCCACAUCCAAGGAUGGCAGCAGGCGCGAAAAUUGUCCACUCUUUAUAGGAGACAGUUAUGAAAAGUAAAAACGGUGGGUCUUGUAAAGAAAGAUUCUAAAAUUGGAGGGCAAGUUUGGUGCCAGCAGCCGCGGUAAUACCAACUCCAAGAGUGUGUAUGAGAGUUGUUGCAGUUAAAAGGUCCGUAGUCGUUCAUGGAAAUAAGGCUUCGGCCUGUGCUCAAUGUGGAGGGGCUGAUGGGGACCAUAGUAUACAGUGGCGAGAGAUGAAAUGUCUAAACCCUCUGUGGAC